GGCUGCUGCAUAAUAGAUGGGACGCAAACUGCCCUAAAUAAAUCCUUACCUAAUUUACAGGGCUCCUUUUCUGAUUGGGUCUGGCCAGGUUGCCUCGAGCUGUCUGCAGUGAGCAGGGGUUUUUCCUGGAGUCCAGAGACCUGCCUCUGCCCUGAGAAAUUCGGAAUCUAGAGAUCCUCUCCCCUUCUGUCAUUGUGGCAAAACGAAAUGCAACUAUUAUUUGCACCAAGCUGACGGCUCUCAGAGGAUACGAGGACCCGCAGUGCGGGACAGAGCCCACGGGGCUGAAAGCGCUACUCAAAGCAGGGCUGCUGUAGACUUGGAGGUGAACGAAUGUAUUACACUGGGCACGGGGCAGCACACAGCACCACCGGACGAACUCACCCUGAGGGCUCUACUACUUUACACAUGAGGAGACCAGUCCCGCCACCAUCACCGGUCCAGCCAGGACUGGAAUCCAGGCCGUCUGGGCUCCGAGCCCAAGGUUUUCCAGGAUCACAGCACCUGGUGGGUGAGGCAAAGCAGGUGGAAGAGGAAGAGCCUCUUGAGACGAGGUGGUGAGGGCAGGUGUGCCCACAGAGGUGACAUCGGGGCAGCGAUGUAACCCGAGGACGCAGCCCUUCCUUCUGGCAGUAACUACAGAGCCAGACAGCUGCCUAGCAGGCCACGCCCACCUCACGCCACCCGCACACGAGGAAUGCUCACCUUUACACUCCAUCUGCGGCAGAGCUGCUAAACGGUUUUUUUUGUUGAAAAAACUGGGCUACCGUGCAGAUCACCGUCCCAGUUCUGAGACGUGGGGCACACGGAAGAAACGUGUAAACAGACAGAAACACGCAUCUCCCACCUCAGUCGGGACCUUCACCAGCCUCUGACCACACAGCUGCCAACAGAAAAGAACGGCUGCAGGCGGCACAGGGUCCGGCAGGGAGCCCAGGGUCCCACUCAACAGACACACCGAUGCUCUUAGCAGGGGACAAAGUACAGAGUUCAAACGUUUCACAGUCUCCUGGUGAUCAGGAAUUGUUGGGCAGGGUAGAAGAAUUCCAUCCCAGGAUUGAGAACAGGUGCAUUCCUGGGGCUUUGUGCUAUGAGGGCUUUUUUUUUUUUUAAUCGAUUAGGUUUUCAUCUUUCUUUUUUUUCCCCUAGUUUUAUUGAGACAUAAUGGACAUGUAACACUGUAUCAGUUUAAGGCGUGCAACAACCAUGCGAUGCAGGUAUAUACUGAGAAGUGGUCCUGAGGAUUUCUGAAUACUCACACUGAAGACUGAUUUGCAAAGCAGAAUACUAACACAACUGACGUCUCUACAGACUGACUUACCUCAACAUACGAGAUGGGAAAUAUUCCUAUCUUGUCUGCCAGCAUGCCUUCGGCCCAGUUCUCGUCCACUCUGCGGAUCACAGUCAGAACGUCAUCCUGAAGAAACAACGAACGUUACUCCACCCGAUCCCAGGAAGCUCGCCGCCUAAUUUCCUUUUCAAUAUGGGACUCAAGUCGCAAGAGUGCAUGAAUAAAAGUUCCAUGACGUGUCUUCAGGAUGUGAACGGAAGAAGCUGAUGAACUGAAUGGUAAUUACCAGUGAGCCUGGCAUCCCCUUCAGACCAGACAGCUGUAAACUACCAGCCCCUCCACCGAGGGGCUGACGGCUGAUUUUGUUUAGACCCACAAACUGCGACCUCAAAUCCCACCCAGACCCCCUGAAGCCCUGGUCCAGACGAAUUUUCAGGCUCUUCUCACUUCUUCUCUGGUAAUACACCAAAUGCCCGUUGAAGCGUACGCCCUCCUGUUUCUCUUUACCAAAACCUACAGCAUUCUGCUCAAAAUCCCAAAGCGUUUUAUCAAUUCAGUAGAUACAGUCUUGUGUGCUUUGCAGCAAAGACAUUUUCAUAUAAAAUAAGGAAGUAAUGAUGUUUCACUUUGUUAUCCAUAAUUCAGGGAAUGAAAAUCCCCGAGUGGCGCACAUCCCCCCCCCCCGAAACGUAGCUUUGAAUUACAUUUAGGCCCUAAAUACGAAAAUGAUACCACACAGCACAUCAACCAAAAUUAUCUUUCACAGAGAACAGUCUGUGCACAAAAUUACUGUCUUUGUGACUCUGAGAAGCCUGCCUCCAGAUAUUUUUAGAAGCACAGUGAGAUCGUUCACACGAAACCAGCACAUGUUUUUGCACAAGGAGACAGAAGCCAUAGUCUACGCAGCCAGGUACAGAGAAGGGCCGACAAAUAGAAGGCGGUGUUGUUCUCACUUUACCUUUGCAAACGGAAGGCAAUCUUUGUCGGCUUCCUUGUCUUUAACUUCGAAGUCAUAAAGUGCUUUGCACUGAGGCGGGGGCUGAGGUAACGGUUUGAUAAUCUGCACGAAGUUGGUGGGGAAAAAGCCAUGGAUCCCGUUGACCUCCCCAUGGUACCAAUUUUCAUCCACUUGUCGCCGCAAAAUGAUGAUGUCACCUUUGCUGAAUUUAAGGUCCCCGGGCUCUUUGCCUUCGUAGUUGUAUAAUGCUUUGGCACAUGGUAACUGAGGUAUUCCCUGAAGGAAAGAGAAGAGUUUUCAUGAAAGAACAGUCCCAAAAUGUCUGAAAAUUCAACUGUAUUAUCAUCGUUGUUAAGUCAAGGUCAACUCCACACUUUGCCCUACAAAGAAAGUCUCACAUUAAAGAACUGGAUAUGGGGCUUCCCUGGUGGCGCAGUGGUUGAGAAUCUGCCUGCCAAUGCAGGGGACACGGGUUCGAGCCCUGGUCUGGGAGGAUCCCACAUGCCGCGGAGCGGCUGGGCCCGUGAGCCACAACUACUGAGCCUGCGCGUCUGGAACCUGUGCUCCGCAACAAGAGAGGCCGCGAUAGUGAGAGGCCCGCGCACCGCGAUGAAGAGUGGCCCCCGCUCGCCGCAACUGGAGAAAGCCCUUGCACAGAAACGAAGACCCAAC